rnacentral:sRNA from 1 species
CAGUGGCCCCGCCGGCGAGCGUGAAACUGUUGCGAGAUUUCCACGAUUUUUUCGCAACAGCUUC